CUUGUAACCCAUAAGAGGUCCAGCCUGCCCAGUGAAAUAUUCAACGGCCGCGGUAUCCUAACCGUGCGAAGGUAGCGUAAUCACUUGUUCUCUAAAUCAGGACCAGUAUGAACGGCUUCACGAGGGUUAUACUGUCUCCUUUUUCCAAUUAGUGAACUUAAUUUUCCCGUGAAGAAGCUGGAAUAAUUAUAUAAGACGAGAAGACCCUUUGGAGCUUUAAACAAUUUAGCACCUGCAUUACUACCACUAUAUUUCCGAAUUCUCUAUCCUCGCAUAAUGACUAAAAGUUUUAGGUUGGGGUGACCGCGGAGUAAAGUACAUCCUCCACAUUGUAAGAAUCUUUUUAAUCUUAACUAAGAGACACACCUCUAAGUAUUAGUAUACUAACAUUCAUUGACCCAAUACACUUGAUCAACGAAC
rnacentral:rRNA from 1 species